AUCUACAGCCAUACCACCCUGAACGUGCCCAAUCUUGUCUGAUCUCAGAAGCUAAGCAGGGUUGGGCCUGGUUAGUACUUGGAUGGGAGAAAUUACAUUCCACCUAACAAAUGGCUGACGAAUUUC
rnacentral:rRNA from 1 species